GACAGAGGUCUCGAGCGUUAGGCGGAAUCACUGGGCUUAAAGCGUGUGUAGGCGGAUUGGUAAGUACCUUGUGAAAUCCCACGGCUUAACCGUGGAACUGCUGGGUAUACUGCUUAUCUUGGGCCACUUAGGGGUUACCGGAACAAACGGUGGAGCGGUGAAAUGCGUAGAUAUCGUUUGGAACGCCAAUGGUGAAAACAGGUAACUGGGAGUGUGCCGACGCUGAGACACGAAAGCCAGGGGAGCGAACGGG
rnacentral:rRNA from 1 species